rnacentral:rRNA from 1 species
ACUUAAAUUGAAGAGUUUGAUCAUGGCUCAGAUUGAACGCUGGCGGCAGGCCUAACACAUGCAAGUCGAGCGGUAGCACAGAGAGCUUGCUCUCGGGUGACGAGCGGCGGACGGGUGAGUAAUGUCUGGGAAACUGCCUGAUGGAGGGGGAUAACUACUGGAAACGG